GAUGUAAACAUAAAUUUUGAACCAAGUAUUGAAUAAACGUUAACAGUUAAAACUUAUGAAAUAAGAAUUUUUCAAAUCCCUUGUAUAUUUUUUAAAUUCUUUUUAAAAUUAAUUUUGAAAAAAUCUGUUGAUUUUGAUGAAUAACAAAACAAAAGCUGUUGAUAUCCGCUGGAGUCCAACCUCAGCAGCUCAACAAAUAAGACCGAGGUCCGACCUCGCCAACUCCAGUGAUGGGUGAUUCUCGAAGUCUGCCAGUAAUUUAUUGUGAUUUACAAAAGCUGAAUUUGCCGGAGGACUGCGAGAAGUGAGGUGUAACUCUGUUACUUAUAAUUAUCGCUUGUGAUGACAAAAUGUGACCUGUAGAAUAUAUUUUAAAGCAGUCGUAAUGGUUUGUCUUGAUGAAAAAUCUUGGAAAUUUCCAAAGACGAACUCCAUCCAAAAAAUCUACUAAGACUGCCAAAAGGCUUAGCUUCAGGAUGAAUUUAUGCCCACUCAUCCCUCAAAAAUUACCCGAUAAAAAUAUAAUACGGAUGGGAACAUGUCAACCGACUACCAGCAUAACACUUGGGAAAAGAAGGAAUCAAACAAGCAAAUUACUUUUACAUAAAUAAGUAAAUAAAAUGAAAAACACUAUUGGGACCCAUAGGAGCGAGCAUCUUAGAAAAGAAGACAAAGUAAGAGCAUGGAAACAACAAGAAUCACUGACUGGACAGCAAUCCAAGAAACGACAUAAUGCAUCAAAAGAAGCACAAAGAGAUACUGAAUCAUAACAAGGAAGAACAAAACCCCAAGUGUGUAAACCAUGUACAAAACCGCAUGAGAUGACCAAUCAAACCACCGACUUAAACAAUUUAUUCAUAGAUAUACUCUUGAAGUCUCCCUGUUGAUGUAGUUUUGUCCCCUCGUAAACCCAUCACUGAAGAUGGCGAGAAGCCAAAACAAAUAUGAGACAUAACAAGAAAAGUCAGGUCAAAAUGAUCAGACCCAACCGAACUACAGGUUAAUUACUCUGAAGACCCACGAAGAAAUUUCCAAGUGUUUUAGUUAAAAAAUUAGUAAAAACUAUAAUG
rnacentral:lncRNA from 1 species